ensembl:processed_transcript
GUACUGCAGGCUUCAGCUGACCUGGACUUUCCAGAGUGUCUCUUUUGGUGAGAGACAUUCGGUGUCCCACGUGUUGUGACCUUUUCUUACGGGAACAGCUGGAGGUUGCAAACAUGGUAGAGAAAGAACUCGCAGCUGAGACCCAUCUCAGGAGGUGCCUGUCUCCUCCAGGGCCACUCAACACAUCCAAUACUGUGACACAGAUAGGCUAGCCUCCUUCUCCCUCUUUCCACCCUGUCUUUAGGAUCAUCUCCAGACAUCGAAGGGCAUCAUUAUCACGGAUAAGAACACAGAUGCUGGGGCUGGAGAGAUGGCGCAGAGGUUAAGAGCUGGCACUAAUCUUUCAGAGGACUGGAGUUUGGUUCCCAUCCCCAUGUUGGGCAGAUCAUGACGGCCUGUGACUACAGCUUCAGAGGGCCUAGAACCUUCUUCUGGAGACCCUGCAUGCUCUGCCUUCAUGUGCUCCUUCCCCUAAGACACAGACGUAAGCACACAAUCAAAAAUUUAUAACGGAAAAAAAAAAAAACAGUCACUGGUUCUGUGUGGCUUCCCUGGGGAGGAGCCUCUGGGCUUCAGUCCAUAUCUGUGAAAUGGGUUAAUGAGAACACCUUUGUCCUGGACACUGAAAAGGUCAGAAUAAUGAAGCUAGCCUGCACGGUGUCAACCUCAAGCAUUGUGGCUGUCACCACUGAUGACCAAUUGAUUACAUAGUCUCAUGGGGAAGAUCAAAGGGGCUAUCUUAGUCCACCUUUCUCACGCCACGAUGGGAGAGUCUAGUUGAUCUAAGUGAGACCGAUGUUCCGCUUGGUUUUUGAAAGACUCUCAGCGAGUGCCAGGCUGUGGUGGCAUGGAAGCCCCAGACUCCAGACUCCCAACUGGUUUUUCCUGUGUCAAGAUUAGGAAGUUGUGACCCUUUAUCUAAACAAAAUUGGGUCUGAAAGCAUCUACUAUGUCACCAUUGUUGUUCCCAGAAACCAAGAUCAAUAAUUGUGAACUGCAGCAAAAUGCCACAAGAAAGCAGAUUCCACAAUCCCAACCACAGGCCGUGGGAGGCCCUGGCUCUCCCUGCCUAGCACAGCCGGGGCUGGGAAAAGAUACCACAGGGGUUUCCCCCUCAUCCCUCAGAUAAGGGAGAGAAAGAUAACAGAUCUGCAGUCAAACCAGGAUGGCAAAUCUGCAUGUACUGCUCACACACCGUUCUGAGAUGGUUUUAUGUUUUUAAGUUCAUUCAAUUACUAGGUAACACUUUGUAGGUAGGUUGAAUUAUUAAACCCAGUUUUUUUUUAUG